AGCCCAAAGCAAAAUCCCUAAAAACCUAUACUAUACUCUGACUUCCUCACUCCCGCCGCCGCCACCCCUUCCCCACUUUUCCAUUCCGUUCUUUAAUCACGGCUAACUAAGAAGAUCGAGAACAACAAAAAAUAACCCCAUCGCUUCUCUAUUCUUGGACAGAAGAGGUAGAUUGGUGGAGUUAGAGCAGCAAUGACAAGUUAACACCAAGAUGGUGCAGUUGAAGACUCGAUGACAGUGUCUCAAGCAAGAUGGUGUUGUAGAAGAAAUUAUGUACUAUGUAACUUGAAACCUAUUGUGGAAUGUAAAUUCUUUUUAUUCUUAUCUACUUUAUUAAAAUCCUUAUGUGUAAAUUGGAAUUUGUUUUGGAAUCUAAAAUAUUUGGAAUUUUAGCUAUUA